GCCAGACCUACUGAGAUUUUCCAACAAUUUCUGUUUUUCGUACUUAUACAGUGACCUCCCCAAUCCACAUGAUGACCCGAAUCAUGAGCUUAAUGAGCACAACUGGAGCAUUGAUACUGGGCGGAUGGAUAUCACACACCCCUGGCACCGUCAAGUCCACAUGCUGCUAAAUUGAAAGCCACAUGCAGCCUCAGUAUGGUUUGGAUGCACUCAUGGGCA